GGUGGUUCUUGGGUGACACACCCCGGAAUCGGGCUCCCUCCUCUCUGGUUCUGGGUGAGUCACCGCAGCUCAGCA
rfam:Myotis davidii contig69158, whole genome shotgun sequence.